GUCCUGGAUGGCCUAGGAAAAGAGCCAUUGGGAUUAAAGACUUUCCCACCUGAUUAGCACCAAAUCUGUUUUCACUCAUCAGAAUAUCUACUAGAUAUAUCAGCAACUGGAUUUUCCCAGGACCUAGCAUUCUUCAGUCUUAAGAGCAUCUCCAAAUCACAGUUAAUUAUCCUUCCCAACAUCCUACCAGACAGACUCCUGGCUUGCCUCUGAUUAGUGAAGCAGCUACAAAUCCUCUUACUUGAAGCAGACCCAGUUGAAAGCAAAAUCUGUCCCCUCUGUCCUGGCUGAUCUUCAACAAAUCACUUCAAGAAAAAGUCGAUAUCAAGUCAAAAGCUUUGUUAUAAAGCUGGACAGUUAUGGGGUUGUAUUUCAAAGUGGCCAGAGAUUCUAGCUACGUUCCUUCUCAAGACCAAAAGUUUUAAGUGGGUGCUUGGUACAAUUUCACCACCUCUCCUUCACCUUCUCAAGAAUUUCAAAUCUGAAAUUCCUGGCCCAGAUUAUGAGAAAACUGGAUGAAAACUUUAGUAUGUGAAUGUGCUCUAAGAAGUACCAUUAGAGAUUGUCCUUUCUUUAUACAAAAUGUGAUGCCCUAGAAAAUACAAUACACAAUUGCAAUACACAAACGCUGCACUGCUUAUUACACAGAAAUACAAACUUUAUGUGAGUUGCACGUUUCACUAUCUCACAUCUUAUCGUAUUUUUUAUUUGAAAAGUAGGUGUCUUUGCAAGUCCACUUUGUGAAGAAUAUAAUUUCUUGCUAAAGGGGGAAAAUUCAGACUCAAAAUCCCUUCUGAGCCAUAAAAUGCAGAAUGCUCUGUAAACUAUCUGCUGUAAUACUCCAGUAGUACUUCCUGAAGGCACUCAGUUGUGGGGAGUAGGGCAACUCACAUGUGCAUGUAGCAGUUGUUUUUUUGUCUAUCACUUCUUAUGGAUCUUCUUUAAUGUGUGAAAGUAAUUUGUAAUUCUUACUUAACGAUUCUUAUUUGUGAUACACUCAAAAUGACAUCUAGAAGGAAGACCCUUAAGAGAACACCUCCUUGGGUUACUUAGAUUUCUAAUUAGAGUAUCUGCAUUAGUAUAAAGUGAUGUCUUGUAUCUUGCCACUUUAUUCCUGUGUUGCACUGCAAACAGAUAUUCAAAGAAAAAAUGUAGGCACUGGUUGGUCUGUAACUCAAGCCACAAAGAACCUGUCUUUAAAUAGCCCAAGAAUGCCAAAGCCAAAGGAUACUCUCGCCUGUGUGUAGCAAUCUCAAUCAACAUUUACUUUUGCGCUCAGUAAAAGGCAAACUGGCACUGCCGCAAGGCCGGGGGGGCAGAUCGAUACCUGUCCCGAAAUUUCUGCAGUUGUUCUCAACGGCUACUCUUGGGUUGCCGUAAACCCAUUUAAACA